CUGUACUAUUAACAACAGCCAGUAGCUAGUAGUAGCUACAAUUUACUGACAGGCGUCCAGUUGCUGUCUAUUACUGUCUGAUCACCAAUAAACAAUCAGCUUCCAAACCAAUUGAUCACUUGCAGAAUAGCUCUCUGCAGGUAAAGCAGAGUAACACACACCAAGCAGCUUGUUAGUAGAGCAAACAAUCACAUCUUGCAGGUAAAAAGGGUUCUCUCUAAACAUCUGUACUUCUCCCUGUGAUUGGCUGUAGCAGGAGAUAGCGAUAAUGUAUACAAUCUAUUAAAUUGUGAGUUUGCGAUAUGUCAGAUAAAUA